rnacentral:rRNA from 1 species
UACAGAGGUCUCAAGCGUUGUUCGGAUUCAUUGGGCGUAAAGGGCGCGUAGGCUGCGGGGUAAGUCGGGUGUGAAAUCUCAGAGCUCAACUCUGAAACUGCAUUCGAUACUGCCGUGCUUGAGGACUGGAGAGGAGACUGGAAUUUACGGUGUAGCGGUGAAAUGCGUAGAUAUCGUAAGGAAGACCAGUGGCGAAGGCGGGUCUCUGGACAGUUCCUGACGCUGAAGCACGAAGGCCAGGGGAGCAAACGGG